UAAAACUGUAAAAAAUAAUUCUUGAUUAGUAUUAGUUAUGUUCUUGAAAAUUAAAAAAUUUGGCGGUAUUUUAUUCAAUUCAGAGGAACCUGUCCUAUAAUUGAUAGUCCACGAUUUGAUUUACUUGUUUUUAGUUUGUAUAUCAUUGUUUAUGAAUUUCUUUAUAGGGAAAAUUUUCUUUAAUUUUGAUAAAAAUUAAUUUCAGAUCAAGGUGCAGCUUAUACACAAGUAGAGAUGGGUUACAUUAAAUUUAUUUUUGGUUAUUUAAUUUUAAUAUUAAAUUUAAAUUGGAUUUGAUAGUAAUUAUAAAUAAAUUUUUAUAAUGAUUGUGUUCUAAAAUAUGC
rnacentral:rRNA from 1 species